GAAAUCUUAAUUCAUUCUUUCUAGAAGCCAGAAAAUAUAAUUUUAUCUAGAAGCACUAUGGAUACAGUACACAUAUAGGAAACAUUCUAUAAACUUAUUAAUGAAAAAUAUAAGCAUGGACUUGAUUCAGUCUAAGAGCAGGGAGAGAUAACUUGAGGCAAAACCUAAAGAGGCAUUCAGCAAUAUUGUUUUUAUAUUUACUUAAAAACAACAAAACACAUUGGCCGUUUCUAUAACAGACCCAUAUUGAUGAGAGUGACAUUUCAGACAAAAGGAAAUAUAGACAAAGAUCUGAAGGCAUCCAGGAACAUGGUGCCUCAGGCAAGGGGUGCUGUGGUGUCUAGAGACCAUAGCUGUUGUCUUUGGAUAAUCCAAAUCAUAUGCUUCAGUUAAUCAUCAAAUUUACAUUUACAAGGUGAAUGAGUGGUUAGAGAAUUUUGUUACACAACAAUACAACAAGAAAAACAUCCGUUGAUCUGUCUGUCUGUAUUAGAAAUUUGGCCAGGCCAAUUCAUUAUGUAGGUGUAUUGAUUAGAUGAAUUAUUUAUCUUAGCUCAUACAGUUUGUCUGUUUGUCUGUAGAGUCCCUAAAUAAGCCAAAGCUCUCAAAUGUGGAUUCUUUCUUGGAAAGACUCUUAA
rnacentral:lncRNA from 1 species